rnacentral:rRNA from 1 species
UAGGGUGCGAGCGUUGUCCGGAUUUACUGGGCGUAAAGAGCUCGUAGGUGGUUUGUCGCGUCGUCUGUGAAAUUCCGGGGCUUAACUCCGGGCGUGCAGGCGAUACGGGCAUAACUUGAGUGCUGUAGGGGUAACUGGAAUUCCUGGUGUAGCGGUGGAAUGCGCAGAUAUCAGGAGGAACACCGAUGGCGAAGGCAGGUUACUGGGCAGUUACUGACGCUGAGGAGCGAAAGCAUGGGUAGCG